UCAGGGAGGAAGUUAGAGGACGGAGGAGGAGGUGAUGGAGGGGUCAGGGAGGAAGUUAGAGGACGGAGGGGGAGGUGAUGGAGGGGUCAGGGAGGAAGUUAGAGGACGGAGGAGGAGGUGAUGGAGGGGUCAGGGAGGAAGUUAGAGGACGGAGGAGGAGGUGAUGGAGGGGUCAGGGAGGAAGUUAGAGGACGGAGGGGGAGGUGAUGGAGGGGUCAGGGAGGAAGUUAGAGGACGGAGGGGGAGGUGAUGGAGGGGUCAGGGAGGAAGUUAGAGGACGGAGGAGGAGGUGAUGGAGGGGUCAGGGAGGAAGUUAGAGGACGGAGGGGGAGGUGAUGGAGGGGUCAGGGAGGAAGUUAGAGGACGGAGGGGGAGGUGAUGGAGGGGUCAGGGAGGAAGUUAGAGGACGGAGGGGGAGGUGAUGGAGGGGUCAGGGAGGAAGUUAGAGGACGGAGGAGGAGGUGAUGGAGGGGUCAGGGAGGAAGUUAGAGGACGGAGGAGGAGGUGAUGGAGGGGUCAGGGAGGAAGUUAGAGGACGGAGGGGGAGGUGAUGGAGGGGUCAGGGAGGAAGUUAGAGGACGGAGGAGGAGGUGAUGGAGGGGUCAGGGAGGAAGUUAGAGGACGGAGGAGGAGGUGAUGGAGGGGUCAGGGAGGAAGUUAGAGGACGGAGGGGGAGGUGAUGGAGGGGUCAGGGAGGAAGUUAGAGGACGGAGGGGGAGGUGAUGGAGGGGUCAGGGAGGAAGUUAGAGGACGGAGGGGGAGGUGAUGGAGGGGUCAGGGAGGAAGUUAGAGGACGGAGGAGGAGGUGAUGGAGGGGUCAGGGAGGAAGUUAGAGGACGGAGGAGGAGGUGAUGGAGGGGUCAGGGAGGAAGUUAGAGGACGGAGGGGGAGGUGAUGGAGGGGUCAGGGAGGAAGUUAGAGGACGGAGGAGGAGGUGAUGGAGGGGUCAGGGAGGAAGUUAGAGGACGGAGGAGGAGGUGAUGGAGAGGAAGGACUGAUGGAUGGAGGUUUGACUGAAUCUAACGGACAUGAACCAGAUAAAGAGGAAAUCGCUAAAUGUCAGAUUUCUGUUCACAUAAAGCUAUAAACUAUUAAUUGUGAUCAAUAACUUUACUGAUUUUGAUCCAGAACUGAGAUCCACCAACACUGUUCAACACUUAGAACCAG